GCUGGCAUAGCUCAGUUGGCAGAGCAGGUCAUUCGUAAUGAUCAGGUCGUAGGUUCAAUUCCUAUUGCCAGCUCCA
rnacentral:tRNA from 1 species